rnacentral:tRNA from 1 species
AAUUCUUUAGUAUAGUAUUGUAUAUUUAAUUUCCAAUUAAAAGGAUUAUGAGAGUUA